CGUGUUGACUCGUGUGCUGCUACCAGUUCCUUUUAGCUGUCGAUGGAGGCGAUACAUACAAAAAUGAAUGCCGGACCAGAUCGUUACAAGGGUAUUCUACGGGCGUGCCUCGCACGGGUGUCUUCAGGUCAAUACCGGCGUUUCUGGAAGCUGACAGGACGUAUGUUCCGCGACAAUGGAUCAACACACGAAAUCGUAAGCCUGACACAAUGACACGAGCUCGCUGCUCAUAGACGAUGACUCUUCGACACAGUUCAGGGAUGAUCUCCGAGGCGAAGAGAAGACUCGAGAAGCAUCGCAGAAAUUAUAUGGGCCGCAUCCAUUCUAACGUGUUUCUCGAUUUUUCGGCCACUCCUUUCUCUCUCUCUCUCUCUCUCUCUCUCUCUCCUUCUAUCUUUGUCUCUUUCGUUCUUUGUGCCCCACGAUCGUUCUUUCCUCGUUUUCGGUAUGUUACCCUCCUUUCGAUUCACUUUCGUCCUCCUUCUCUUUCUUUCCUCGCUUUCGCGCGACCGGGAACCACGUUACGCGCGGUUUGCAUCCGCACCUUGGACGAUUAUUUGUUGCUUCCGUUCCCGAGGAACUAUUUUCAACCGGUCGCCUCUGUACGACCGCUUUAUGUGCAGGAUUGAGCAAUUAACCGAGAUUAAAACAGAUACAAGCUAGGGAUUUGGCAAGAGAUAAAUCUGAAAUAAUAGAUUUUUAGUAAAAUAACUAGAAAAUGAAAACAGUGGAAAGCAUACAGUUUGUACGAGAUAUCAUCGUGUCUCGAUAUUUAUGGCACGGUAAUGUACAUGUAGAAUAGUGACACAAAAAAUAGAAAAGAAAUUUGAAGAGUAAAAAGUUCUUUAUCUUCUUUGAAAUGGAUACUACAACAACGUAAAAAUUAAGAACUACGUACUAAUAAAUCUAGUGAUUUUAGCAUUUUUGAUCGAAACUAUUAAAUGCUUGUUAUGUUUUCUAUUUGUAUUUUAUUAAAAAGAGUAGUAAUUUUCUAAAAUAACAGACCAGACACCAAAAUAUUCUGAGAUCACCGAACGAUUCUCAAGAAUCGAAUCGAUGAAACCCAAUGGCGCUUGAUGCCACUCCUCCCUCGAUUUUGGUCUCGUUAACAACUUCCCGACCAUCCACGCAAUCUCAAUUCAACCUUGUAAUUAAUUAUCGACGUGGUUCAGGGUAAGCAAGGAAUCGUUCGGGUUCGCGGAAUCGAUAAGAGUGUAUUUUCAUGUCCAUCCAAAUGUCCCUAUGUUUCACGACGUCUCGAGCGGCCGCAUGCGUGGCGAAUAAAGUAUCUUCGAAUGAAAAAUCGGUACCGAUGAUCCAGGUAGGCGGUCGCAGGUUCUCCAACGAACGCGAACGUCAGGAUCGUGGCUCGUUCGUUCGUAACCGCGUCUUGCCACGCUAGGGAGUUAUGGCGCCGGCUGGUGGUACGCCUGCGGACCGCUCUCCUGGAGAGGGCGUUAUCGGUCGGCUUAAUCGAACGAUUAAUGACACAGUGCGCGUAAAAGUGGCUGAACGAAGCAACGCGAAAAGGAAACAGAGUGGGAAUUAACCGGCAUGAAUGAACCGUGCGCCGCUUGUUAAGAGUUGGCCCUCGACUCGAGACCGUAUUUCAAUAAAACAACGCACACCGCUGACUGAUUGACUAAUUAUCAAACCGGCCAGUGGACCCAACCGUCCAGAUCAAUACGCCUGUUAAACACAAGCUUACAGCCUGCCUUCUCCUUUCACAGAUUCCCCAGAUAAUCCCAAGACACGGGGAAUUCGGAUUUUUAUCGUGCUCGACGCGCGCUCGAACCGUAAUUGUGACUUUUCGGUUAAUUAACGCUCUGCGGUUGCGAGGGAUUUUUCAAAGCGGAGCAACCAGAUAGCAAAGGUGGCGAUUGAUCGUUGGUUAUGCUUCGUUGAUUCUAAGAACCCUCUUGUUCGCUUUCGAUAUUUGUCUAAGUUGAACCUCGAUGGCCGUUCAUUUUUUACAUUGUCAACUCUAUUUACCAGGAAUUUUGACACGUUUAAACUUUGCUUUUCUCCUCUCUAUCAAUAUCAAACAACCGUUACCUAGAGCUUUCUCUCCCGCUCACAAAAGUCUCUGUGUUCCUUAUAAACCAUUCUUUCGAAAUGGUUUCCAAAUGCUCCCUUCUUCCGCAUUCAUUGACUUUUCUCGAAAGUUUUCUCUUUAUUAUUUAAUAUGUACUUUACAAUUUGUCCAGCUGGACAAUUUUUCUAGCUUAAUCGCUAAAUAAUACGUGGAUGGCUAACCCCAGAAGGAUACCAUCUUCUAGUUUGACUAUUUUAUUUCUUUAGCGAGGUCAGUGUGGUGUUUUCUUUUUAGUUUUCUUUCUUUAAUUCUUCUUUCGAGUUUUUCUCGCUUCAGUAGCCAGAUUUUCUCGAAAGUGAACACCCAGUACGAACGAACGUGCCCGAAUAGGCGAAUCGGUAAUCAACGAACAUCGAUUGCAGUCGACCAUCGAGUCGCAAGUCUCAGAACUAGUUCUCUAAUCCUGCUGACCAGGUGUCGAGAUAUCGAAAGGUGAUGGAACGGCUCGAGACGCGUUAAAUAUUGAGCCAGUCACGAAGCACACGCGGCGUGGCCCGUAAUGAGCCAAUCCUCCAUCCUGCUCCUUUCGAGGAUGAUACUCGCGCGUUUCCACUCGGCGAUCGGACGGUGCUCAUUAGCGACGGAUUAAUAGGAUCCAGACGAAGGAACGAGCGGACAAAUGCACGGUAGCCGUGUCCACAACGACGCGAGUCAUUCGUUUCGAAUAUUUUGCCACGGUGGACGCGCGUCUGCCGGACGCCGCAUCUAUCUCGACCCGCGAUCGCCGCAACUCUGUCGUAAGGUCUUUAUCGGACAUCUGGAUAUUAAGUGAACGUGAGCGUUGCUUAAUCAGUGUCCAUGGAAAUUCGAGGCGGCCCAAUCCACCGCGCUGUUGCAUCGUCGAUUAAUGGUGCUACGAGUGCACUCUCAGGCAGCGUUGUCAAUUCUUCGAUUUUGGUAUUGGGAACUCGCGUUAAUUCGGACUUGGCCUGGUUACUCGGAAAUAAGGUUAGGAGAAAAUAGUACUACACUACAUCUAUUUCAAUUAUAUCACUUUAAUUGCAAAAUCACAUUGCAAUGAUUUUAUUCUUUAUAGAGUGUAAUAAGAGUGUAAUAAGACACUUGCUUAUUUCUGACGUGAUGUAGUUUAGAUAAUCAUACAAUUACGAACGUUGCAAAGUGUAAUUGAUUUUAUAAAGUGUAAAAUUGUGUUUCACGCUAUAUUAUAUUAAAAAACAUAUCGCAUUGUACAUUGUAAAUUAUCAUAAUUAUCGAAUUAUGUUGUAGAAUUUAUUACAAAUUAUACAAUUUUUAAUUAUACAAUUAUGAGCGUGUCAAAUUGUAAUUGAUUUUAUAUAUUGUAUUAAAAAAUAUAUCGCAUUAUACAUUACAAAUUAUCACCAUAAUUAUCCAAUUAUGUUGUAGAAUUUAUUACAAAUCAUACAAUUAUGAGCGUGUCAAACUGUAAUUGAUUUUAUAUAUUAUACUAAAAAAUA